rnacentral:rRNA from 1 species
GACGAACGCUGGCGGCGUGCUUAACACAUGCAAGUCGAGCGGUAAGGCCCUUUCGGGGGUACACGAGCGGCGAACGGGUGAGUAACACGUGGGUGACCUGCCCUCAGCUCUGGGAUAAGCCUGGGAAACCGGGUCUAAUACCGGAUAUGACUCCAUGACGCAUGUUGUGGGGUGGAAAGCCUUGUGCGGCUGAGGAUGGGCCCGCGGCCUAUCAGCUUGUUGGUGGGGUGAUGGCCUACCAAGGCGACGACGGGUAGCCGGCCUGAGAGGGCGACCGGCCACACUGGGACUGAGACACGGCCCAGACUCCUACGGGAGGCAGCAGUGGGGAAUCUUGCGCAAUGGGCGAAAGCCUGACGCAGCGACGCCGCGUGAGGGAUGACGCCU